rnacentral:rRNA from 1 species
UACGGGGGGAGCAAGCGUUGUUCGGAUUUACUGGGCGUAAAGGGCGCGUAGGCGGUCAGCACAAGUCAGUUGUGAAAUCUCCGGGCUUAACCCGGAAAGGUCAACUGAUACUGUGCGACUAGAGUGCGGAAGGGGCAACUGGAAUUCUCGGUGUAGCGGUGAAAUGCGUAGAUAUCGAGAGGAACACCUGCGGCGAAGGCGGCCAUCUGGACGAUAACUGACGCUGAGACGCGAAAGCGUGGGUAGCAAACAGG